rnacentral:rRNA from 1 species
AUUGAACGCUAGCGGGAUGCCUUACGCAUGCAAGUCGAACGGCAGCGCGGACUUCGGUCUGGCGGCGAGUGGCGAACGGGUGAGUAAUGUAUCGGAACGUGCCCAGUAGCGGGGGACAACCACUCGAAAGAGUGGCUAAUACCGCAUACGCCCUACGGGGAAAGGGGGGAGUCGCAAGACCUCUCACUAUUGGAGCGGCCGAUAUCGGAUUAGCUAGUUGGUGGGGUAAAGGGCCUACCAAGGCGACGAUCCGUAGCUGGUUUGAGAGGACGACCAGCCACACUGGGACUGAGACACGGCCCAGACUCCUACGGGAGGCAGCAGUGGGGAAUUUUGGACAAUGGGCGAAAGCCUGAUCCAGCGACGCCGCGUGGAGGACGAAGCCCUUCGGGGUGUAAACUCCUUUUCUCAGGGAAAAGGAUGAUGGUACCUGAGGAAUAAGCCCCGGCUAACUACGUG